GUUGUACGUAUAUAAUUUAUGCUGAUUAAUUACCCCGAGAUAUGUUUACAGCAAUUACACCUUUCAUAAACAUUGCGAAUUGAACACAUGCACGCUUCUGGAAUUGGGAGCACUUAAUUUUGUUCUAAUGAGGUAUUAUUCCUUCUUCUUCAGUUUCCGAGGCCGUUGCCUAAUUCUCCACCGUGCGAUGAGGUGAGAAAUCGAGUCGGCUGGACAAUGAUAUCCAUGGCGAGACCCAAGACGCUCGGUUUACGCCCUUGAUACGUAAAUAACGAUUAAGUAAUUACGGGAACGGUACAAGGCUGGUUUGCUAUUUAUUAUCUUAUUGAAAAAAAAGUAGAGAGCGAAAUGUAUACAAAGUUCAGUGCGUUUCUCACAGGAAGAGACUUUGAUAUCUGCGCCAUGUUAAUUAGGUAACGAUGGCGAAGGCCGAAAUUGUGCUCUGUGUUGCAACUCUUGCAUUACUAAUUAAUCGUAUUGUCAGUUGAAUUAUUCCGCUUUUGCCUCACUUUCUCCAGAACACCAAAAGCGAUUUAGUGGCGCCCCGGCCUAAGAUGGGAGGUCUUCUAACAAUUCAAAUUUCAAUUAUUCAUCUCAUCGUUCUUUAAGUCAUAACAAACUUGGGAUGAGCUCAAAAGAAGAAUAUGCGAAACAUCGUGACCCGUUAUCAUGUCAUCAUAUACUCCAAGGCUAAUAUUAAUUAAGAUGCGGAAACGAUAUAUCCACAGAGCCUCUUCUUGUUAAUUAAAUGAUCAAAAUUUA